rnacentral:rRNA from 1 species
AUCUCAGUUCAGAAUUGCAGGCUGCAACUCGCCUGCAUGAAGUCGGAAUUGCUAGUAAUCGUAGGUCAGCAUACUACGGUGAAUACGUUCCCGGGCCUUGUACACACCGCCCGUCAAACCAUGAGAGUUGGCAACACCCGAAGUCGGUAGUCUAACCGCAAGGAGGACGCCGCCGAAGGUGGGGUUGAUGAUUAGGGUUAAGUCGUAACAAGGUAAC